rnacentral:tRNA from 1 species
GCUCCCUUAGCUCAACCGGUAGAGCGUGGUGCUAAUAACGCCAAGGUCGCAGGUUCGAUCCCUGCAGGGAGCA